rnacentral:rRNA from 1 species
GCACAAGCGGUGGAGCAUGUGGUUAAUUCGACGCAACGCGAAGAACUUACCAGGGCUUGACAUCCCCUGACCGCGUAUGAAAGACGGUUUCCUCUUCGGAGGCACCUGCACAGGUGCUGCAUGGCUGUCGUCAGCUCGUGUCGUGAGAUGUUGGGUUAAGUCCCGCAACGAGCGCAACCCUUAUCCCCAGUUGCCAUCAGGUAAAGCUGGGAACUCUGGGGAGACUGCCGGUGAUAAACCGGAGGAAGGCGGGGAUGACGUCAAGUCCUCAUGGCCCUUACAUCCCGGGCUACACACGUGCUACAAUGGCAGGUACAGAGGGCUGCGAAGCCGCGAGGUGGAGCGAAUCCCAGAAAACCUGUCUCAGUCCGGAUUGAAGUCUGCAACUCGACUUCAUGAAGGCGGAAUCGCUAGUAACCGCGAAUCAGCAGGUCGCGGUGAAUACGUUCCCGGGCCUU